UUUCCGUAGGUGAACCUGCGGAAGGAUCAUUAUUGUAUAACCGAGGUGCGAGGGCUGUCGCUGACCCGAAAGUUCGUGCACGCCCGAGUGCCCUCACACACAUCCCUCUCACCCCUAUGUGCACCACCGCGUGGGUCCCUCUUUGGCUCGUUCGGAGGGGGGCUUACGUUUUCACACAAACUUUGUAUGCAGUGUAGAAUGUAUUUUUUGUUUUUGCGAUCACGCAAUCAAUACAACUUUCAACAACGGAUCUCUUGGCUCUC
rnacentral:misc_RNA from 1 species